UGUUGGAAGCAUAGACAGUCGCUAUUCCCAUUGAAACGAAUGGCGCGGUGAUUAUUCUUCAAAACGAGAGCUGGUAAAUCGUGAACAAUGAAUUAAACUGUAAUCAGACAAAGCAGUUAUAUGCUAUAGACCCUAGAGCAGGGAUGCCAGGGUGAAAUUGGUCAGGGGGCCAGAUUUUUUUGAAGUGAGACCUCAGGGGGCCGGAUUACACUAUCGGACUGAAAAGGCCUGAAAAGGCCAAACACUGACUCAACACAUGGAUAGGUAGGCUAUUUUAAAUUAUGCUUGAAUAAAUUGCAUUGGCCCCAAAAUAGCCUCACAAUGAGGCCUACAAUUACAUAGCCUAAAGCAGGAGACAGCUCCCGUCUAAAAACUUAACAUUUUCCUAUCCAUGCAAGUAGCCUACAUUUAUAAAUCCUCGAAAGUUGCACUGGGUGCCUUUAAUAGAUUUUAUUUUAUUUAUUGAAGGCUUGCAUAGGUGAACUAGGCGAUCGCCUAGGGCGGCAAAUGCGUUGGGGGCGGUAAAAGUGUUGGGGGCGCCCCCUGGAGGCGGCCUUAAUAAAUAAAUAAAUUUUAAUGAAACAAGCGUGUUUUCUAAACACGUUUCGAAAUGGAAUGGAGAAUGGGGGAUGAAAAGUUAUUGAAUCAUAACAGACCAGCAGCAGUAACAGACCAACUGACGGAUUCCAAAAAAUAAAAG